CCUGGGGGAGUAGGUGAAGGAGCAGAUUCAGCCCCAUGUUGUCCCCAGAGUCACGGCUCGGGGCCUGAACUGUGGGCAGGCCUCCCGGCCACCAAUUGGACACAAGCAGCAAUUCUGUGUUGGAAGGGGGCUGCUCUGGAAGUGUUGGGGGAAAGCAGGCCCGCAUCUCCUCUCCACCUGGCAGUUUUCAAUAUCUUUCCUCGCCUGCGUCGCUGGCAUUACCCCUUCAUAUCAGACGGCAUGGAAUUUAAAGGCCUCGGUCCCAACCCGCUCUUUCGCAUCAAAGACCCAUAAAUGGAAGAGGCUACAUUCAAACUGCAGGCUCCAGUGGCAGACUGUCUGACUGGAAAGGUCAGCUUGAAAGAUACAUUUUUGCAAUGUCUUCACAAUGACUAAGAAAUCCAUACCCAGCGGGGAGCACCAACAUUCAAAUUCAGCCUGCAGUUGUCACAGGUGACAUUCAAUAAGUUUAAUUGCUUUUGUUUAAAAAUGGAGAUUUCAGGGAGAUAUACUUGCUUCACCCGCUUCACCAAAGUGCAGUCACUAGAAUCUUCCUCCUGAAGACCACGUUUAUACACUGAUAUUAUAACACAAGUCUGCUCUUUGCUAGGAUCAGUAUUCCACCCAGGAUUCCUCUGCCUGGAGGAGAACUCCUUGUGAAGCACAGCCUAAUUUUGAGGAGCAUAGCCUAGUGGAAAGAGCAUGGGCUUGGGAGUCAAGGGACCUGGGUUCUAAUUCCACUCUGCCAUUUGCCUGCUGUGUGAUCUUUGGGGAAGUCACUUAAUUUCUCAGAUCAGUUUCCUCGUCUGUAAAAUGGGGAUUAAAUACCUGUUAUCCCUCCUAC
rnacentral:lncRNA from 1 species